AUUGAACGCUGGCGGCAGGCCUAACACAUGCAAGUCGAACGAGUGGCGGACGGGUGAGUAAUGUCUGGGAUACUGUCUGCUGGAGGGGGAUAACUUCUGGAAACGGUAGCUAAUACCUCAUACCAUCAGAUGUGCCCAGGUGGGAUUAGCUUGUUGGUGGGGUAACGGCUCACCAUGUCGACGAUCCCUAGCUGGUCUGAGAGGAUGACCAGCCACACUGGACCUGAGACACGGUCCGAACUCCUACGGGGGGCAGCAGUGGGGAAUAUUGCACAAGGGGCGCAAGCCUGAUGCAGCCAUGCGGGGUGGAGGAAGAGGGCCUUCGGGUGGUAAAGUACUUUCAGCGGGGAGGCGGUACCCGCAGAAGAAGCACCGGCUAACUCCGUGCCAGCCGCCGCGGUAAUUC
rnacentral:rRNA from 1 species